GGAGGGGUCUGUGCACACAGCAUCGAGGGCGGAGAGCUCUUCGAGAGGAUUGUGGAUGAGGACUACCAUCUGACCGAGGUGGACACCAUGGUGUUUGUCAGGCAGAUCUGUGACGGGAUCCUCUUCAUGCACAAGAUGAGGGUUUUGCACCUGGACCUCAAGCCAGAGAACAUCCUGUGUGUCAAUACCACCGGGCAUUUGGUGAAGAUCAUUGACUUUGGCCUGGCACGGAGGUAUAACCCCAACGAGAAGCUGAAGGUGAACUUUGGGACCCCAGAGUUCCUGUCACCUGAGGUGGUGAAUUAUGACCAAAUCUCCGAUAAGACAGACAUGUGGAGCAUGGGGGUGAUCACCUACAUGCUGCUGAGUGGCCUCUCCCCCUUCCUGGGAGAUGAUGACACAGAGACCCUAAACAACGUUCUGUCUGGCAACUGGUACUUUGACGAAGAGACCUUUGAGGCCGUAUCAGAUGAGGCCAAAGACUUUGUCUCCAACCUCAUUGUCAAGGACCAGAGGGCCCGGAUGAAUGCUGCCCAGUGUCUCGCCCACCCCUGGCUCAACAACCUGGCAGAGAAAGCCAAGCGCUGUAACCGACGCCUUAAGUCCCAGAUCUUGCUUAAGAAAUACCUCAUGAAGAGGCGCUGGAAGAAAAACUUCAUUGCUGUCAGCGCUGCCAACCGCUUCAAGAAGAUCAGCAGCUCAGGGGCAUUGAUGGCUCUGGGGGUCUGAGCCCUGGGCGCAGCUGAGGCCUGGACGCAGCCACACAGUGGCCAGGGCUGAGGCCACACAGCUCAGAAGGCCAGAGAAGGCAGCCAGAUCCCCAGGGCAGUCUCGCCAGGACAAGGCUGUGCCAGGCUGGGAGGCUCGGGGCUCCGCACGCCCCCAUGCAGUGACCGCUUCCCCGAUGUGAGCCGCCUCGGAGUGUGGCCUGGAUCCAUCCUGCUAGCGCCUCCCCAGACAGGGCUCCAGCCUGUCGGCCACACCCCAGACUCCAGGCCCCCGUUGAAGCCGCUCCCGGUUCCCUCCCCAGCUCCCCGUCUUUGAACUGCCGCCGUGGUGACCCCUGCUUUGCCCCACUGGGAGCGACCUCAGCCUGGGCCUCCUCCUAGCUGGAGUGACAUGGCUGGGGGUCUCAGCAUGUAGGGCUUCUGUGGUUGUGGAUGGGAGGCUCCUGGCGGGGCAGAAAGGCUGCAACGCUGAUUCCUAAGGCCCAGCUGCCAGGGGAGACAGAGCAGGCUUUGUGAGAGAGGACCUCCAUGCCCCCGCUGCCUCCCCACUCCCAGCAGAUAAGGCCGAGCCCACACCAUCUGGCCCAGGCUGGCCCCCACCCACCUUCCUUGCGACCACCAACACACAGGAACUCUGUGUGAGAGAGAGGGCGCCCAGCCCAGGCCUGGUGGAGGGGGAGGGGAGAAGCCAAGGGACACAGGAGACCACCCCUGAGCUUGCCUCAGGGCCAAGCCGGCCCAACCCAACCACUCGGGGCCCCCAUCUUGGGGGUCACCCAUGGCCUCAGAUGAUGGGGUCAGCAGGCCCAGGAGAAGUAGGAAGGCCAUGGGGCAGCCCCCAAUCUGCUCUCAGCUUGUGCCUUGUAAAUAAAUGUACAGGUUGGAUGUGG
rnacentral:sRNA from 1 species